rnacentral:lncRNA from 1 species
AUGCAUUCGUAAUUUGUUUUUGUAUCUGACACCCACAUGCCUUAAUUAGCAUCUGGGAUGUCACAGAUGGUAUCAGAGCAGGUUACGCAGACUGAAUCCUUUACAACUGAGGCCAUAGGUAGAAAGACCCUUAGAAUACCUAAGAAGAAUAAGUCUUCUUUUCUAAAUUAGACCACCAACUCAUGUCUUCCUUUCUUUUGUAGGAAUGAUGCGAGGAAGACCAUUC